AUACCUUAAAUAAUACUCCCCAAAAGUACUAACUUGGGAAAGUAUGCAGAAAUAGAGAAACUUACAGGGGUGCUGAGGCUGUUGGGAGGAAUAAUAGAAAGGCAGCCAAACAUGAGGGCUGCUUGACAUUGGAGCAGAUGAUGUGUUUCUUUCCUCUGAAAGCAACUGUGUGAGCACUUAAUGCUCUGAGCUUCUGCAUCUAUCUUCAGAGCAUGAAGGGAAGGGCAAGGGAACUGCAGACGGUGACCGUGACUCUGACCUCACUGACCUUCUGCAUUGAUGCCAACAAUCGUCAAUCCACAGAACAAUUCUUAUGUGAGAAGCAUAACUCUUCCUGAAUUUGAGAAAUAUUAUUGCCACCUUUGAAAUCGGUGUACACAGAUCAUGGUAAGUCUCAUUCUCUUGUUUUAUUAGUCAGAGUUCCUCAUUAAUUUAGAAAAUUGUUUGUUCAGUAAAGACCUAUCUCAUUUGAUAAUGGUCUCUGAAUCCCCUGGAUUAUGGCAGGGAUUUUACUUUGUAAUAAUCUCCCAUGAGAACUGUCUAAACAACUGUGAAGGCAAGAGAGAGCUGCGAGGGGCCAUCAUAAUCUUUAAAGCAUAGCAACAACGGACUGAAGCUGACCAUAAUGAAUCUUUUCUGCUUUUCGCUGGGUCUCAUUGGAGAGUCCACAUCAGAAAGAAGAGAAAGGAUGUUUUCAUUAAAGCACUUAAGCCAACUCUAU